GCAGCCAAGUUGAUUUGUUAAGUUGUUGGGA
rnacentral:piRNA from 1 species